rnacentral:rRNA from 1 species
GUGAGGAAUUUUGCGCAAUGGGGGCAACCCUGACGCAGCGACGCCGCGUGGAGGACGAAGUCUUUCGGGAUGUAAACUCCUGUCAGUGGGGACGAUAAUGACGGUACCCACAGAGGAAGCACCGGCUAACUUCGUGCCAGCAGCCGCGGUAAGACGGAGGGUGCAAGCGUUGUUCGGAAUUACUGGGCGUAAAGCGUAUGUAGGCGGCAAGUUAAGUUCAAUGUUAAAGCCCACGGCUCAACCGAGGAGAUGCAUUGAAUACUGGCUAGCUAGAGGGUGUUAGAGGAAGACGGAAUUCCCAGUGUAGCGGUGAAAUGCGUAGAUAUUGGGAGGAACAUCGGUAGCGAAAGCGGUCUUCUGGGACAUACCUGACGCUGAGGUACGAAAGCGUGGGGAGCAAACGGGAUUAGAUACCCUAGUAGUCC